AAAACCUUCAUGAAUUCAUAUGUUUCGGGGAGUUCGAAGGGGUUCUUAUUACAGGUCAUGGAUGACAUUGUCGUCAAUAGUCUCUCAGAAAGCUGAAAAGAAAUUGGAGAAGUUACUUUCAUUCACUCUAAAUGACCACAACAGUGUUUUAAUUCUAGUGGUGGAAAGUAACUAAGUACAUUUACUCAAGUACUGUACUUAAGUACAAUUGUGAGGUACUUGUACUUUACUGGAAUAUUUCAGUACUAACAGAAAUAUUGCUACAUCCAAGAGACAGAAAGAGCGUCUUACCUGUAUCACAGUGGUCGAUUUACAGUCCUCUUCUUACAAUGGCUUACUUGUUAAUUUGAGUGUUGGUGUCCGUUCAACCACUCAAACUAAAAUGAGUAGAACUCACAGAAUUCUAAUUUAUGCGCAACAUCAUCUCCAGAUUCCUUUGAUGGAAUGAUGAUUGAUGAUUGAUGAUGUAACAAAACUCAGUUAACAUGAGUUCUAAAGGCCUCACAACAACAUCACCUUCAAUUCAAAUAUAAAUAAAGUUUUGAACCAGGUACUGUCAGAUACAUUCUGCAAUAAAACUUUUUACUGUUAUACAAUUAUGAAAAACACUAAAUGUUAAAGUAACUAAUGUCCAUAGUAAUCCUAGCUGCUGUGCCCCUGCUACAUUAUUGACUGACAGUUGUGACAUGUAGAUACAGUAGAUACUCAUUACAAGUUGCAUGUUUUUUAUGUAAAUACUAGAUACAUUCAUCCAUCUCUACUCCUUUAAUUUUAUUCAAUGAAAAGUUUUUACAUCCAUUUAAAAAAAGGAAAUAGAAUCUGAAGAUCUCACAUCAUCUGGAAAACUGUUCCAAAUUUUAGUCUCCACACACUUAAAUGCUUUAGAUUCAAAAACUGCUAUAUCACUGCAUUCUGAAUUUGCAUGCCUAGUAUUAUAAUUGUGCUGGUCUCUGGUACACUCAAACACCUGGAAAUAGUCUGGUGCUAACGUGGAGGAGAUACUGAACACAUUAUUAGUGGGAGGAAUACAGAAUCAGCAGGUGGAGUCAGGCCAAGCUUCAGUAAUGACCGAUCACAUAGACUCCUCUCAUUCCCUUUAAACACAGCAACAGCUGAAAAGAGUUCACCUCUGUGAAGCACCUGACAUACCAAAAUAUACAUUCUGUACACCUCAAAUAUAAAUAUACAUAAAUCAAAAUAUGUUGACAAUGGUAGAAUGAAGAUAAAGCUGAUGUGUUGUGUGUGCUGCCGCUUAUUUUGUGCAAACAAUUAACAUAUAGGAUAAUUAAUACAUUUAAACUCCGCAGUUCUACUCCUCCUCUGCAUAUUUGAAAGUCAUUCAUGCUUUUAAGCAUAUACAAUAUCCUGAAAUAAACAGAUGCAAAAUCAGGUUUGGAAAUUUGAUGGUUAGCUGUUUGAAAAGUGCUCAAGUUCUUUCACUGUUUAGUCGAAAUAAUUAAUUUGUUAAUGAUGAAUGAAGGUAUUCACGCUGUGUUGAUGUGUGUAAAGUAAGCACCCCUACGAAAAAGCACAUGUGAAAUUCAGUCUUUCACAUGUGAACCGAAACAUUUCACAUGUGAUGCUUUGAUUUCACAUUUGGAAAUCACAUGUGUAUCUUAAAAUUCACAUGUGAAGCUAAAAACAUGUUGUCUUUUUUCACAUGUGAUUUUUAAGAUACAUAAUACAUGUGAAAUGGAUAGUGUCACAUGUGAAGUGAAACAUUUCACAAAUGAACCUAAGUUUCACAUUUGAAAAUCACAUGUGUAUCUUAUAAUCACAUGUUUUUGGUUUUAUAUGCGUAAUGCAAACUUUACAUAUGAAAGGGAUAAGGUCACGUGUGAAGUGAAACAUUUCACAUGUUGUGACCUCACAUGUGUACCUAAGUUUCACAUUUGGAAAUUACAUGUGAAUCAUCUUAAAUUCGCAUGUGAAAAAAAAGUUUUUAGUUUUAUAUGUGAAUGCAAACUUAGCAUGUGAAAGGGAUAAAGUCACGUGUGAAGUGAAACAUUUCUUGUGAAAUUAAACAUUCAGGUGAUAAAAGACAUUUUGAAUGCAAACUUUUAUAUGUGAAAAUCAGCAGCCAAUCGGCCGAAAACCACAUGUGCCCUUGAAUACUUCACAUGUGAAACGUCAGAAAACCACAUGUGCCCUUGAAUACUUCACAUGUCAAACAUCCGGAAACCACAUGUGCCCUGAACGUAUCACAUUUUGUAUCCCCUUUGUGAUCCAAGGCCUGUCUAUACAAUUUUGCUUUCUGAUGUAUUGUUUUAUUGGACAGUUUUUGUCAUAUAAUGAUCUAAACAUAUUUUUAGAAAUGUUUCUUAGGCUUUGUCAGUAUCUUCUUCAUUAUACAGGCUUUUCUUUUCCAGUUUUGUGUUACUGAUUCAUGUUUAAAUGUGCUUAUGGAUUCCACCAUAGUCAUACCUGUAUUUUAAUUUUCUGGCAUCCUGAUCCUUCCCAUAAUCACAGUCAUAGAUAACAAAGACUGGCAAAUGGUCACUGAUGUCAUUAAUUAAUAGCCUGCUUACUGUGUUGUCUUCCAUAAUAUUUGUAAAUAUAUUGUCUAUUACAGUGUGAUGUUAUUUUGCUUGGUCCACUGAUCAUUGAAUAUAAACUCAUACUAUACAUUGUAUCAAUGAACUCAUCAGUCAGUUUGUGUUUAUUAGGAUUUAAGAGGUCUAUUUUGAAAUACACACACACACACACACACACAUAUAUAUAUAUAUAUAUAUAUAGGGCAAGGAAAUGCACCCCCUGCUAUCUCCCACGAGGAAAGUAUCACAUCCAUGAAACUUACUCCACUUAUCAGCACCAGUCCUACGACUAUACUCUCAAAAGUAUUUGAUGCUGGGAGAAACACAUCACUUUCAUGAAAAUAUUAUCAACAUUAGUUAAUGCAUUGUUUUUGAAUUUUUUGUUUUACACUGAAUUGCAUCAGCAUCUCUGCAUAUGGAAUAAAUGGAGAUGUAGGCUACAUAAGUAGCCUAUAUAUUAACUGUAUUUGUCCCAACUUUUAGUGUAACAGUUUUAUUUUAGUUUACAUAAUUACAUAGUAAUAUGAUCAAGACUGUAUUAUAAUGUUGAAAUAUUAGGUCAAGCCAUUUUAUUAUAAAUUGUAUACAUAUAAACAGCAUGUGAUGCUAAAUGCACUUACUGUAGCUUUAUUAUCCAAUCAUCCAAUUAUUAUCCAAAUGACGUUACUCCACUGCACCACCAGUUUGUGGGGGCCCCUUUAAGGCCCCAGAAAUCAACAGCGACAAGUACAUUCACAGCAGUAUGGAUUCAGUAUUGUAUCAGACUAUUCUGGAUUACAAAACUAAAGGCCAAUAUCCACCAAACAUUAUAAAGGCAGAAAAAAAUGAAAUUCGACAAAAGGCUUCAAAGUUUGUCCUAGAAGAUGAAGCACAGUACUAUUUGAAAGGUCCUGGUAAGGUCAUCAAAACCAAAGUCGUUAGAGGCACGGAGGAGGCCAACACCAUUUUUAGGGAUUUCCACGACAGCUCCACAGGUGCUCACACUGGACAAAAAAAAACCAGAGAUGCCAUUUCGAAAAGGUUUUUCUGGCCUGGGAUGUUUGCUGACAGAUAAAUGGGUAAGUAAACACUGCAAUUGAAGAAAAAAAUAAGCACUUUGCUUUUUAUUGAGUUUCAGCAGACUACAUAUAAAUAUGUAUACCUUACUUGCAUGUAGGUAUAUGUAUAUUUUCAUUAAAUUACAGAAAUUUUAAAGUGUUUUCUACAUUGUUGAAUCCAAUAUGAAGUGACAGAGAAAUGCCAGGAGAUAGUUCACUUUUUCAUGUAUAUGUGUUUUAAACAGGUGUCAGAAUGUGCAGUGUGCCAGUCAGCUGGUCAUGUUAUCAAACAGGAGGUGGAGUAUACCCCCAUAAAGGUAACUGUUGACACAUUCUCAUAAUCAAUGUCUGUUGUUUUUUCACAAAACAUAUUUACCUUCUGAUAUAAAUUUUUACAUAAUCUUACAUAUUUCUCAGCAGAGCAUGUGGAAAGGAAGAAAUCUCUGGCUGACUGAAGCUGAACUAUUUUCUUUAAAUGUCACCAUGCUCACAAACAUUGUAUCCAGAAUGAAAUGUAUAUUUUUAUUUUGUACUGCUUUUUUCAGAUAACAUAUCCAUUUGAACUACUCGGCAUGGACCUGAUAGGUAAAUUAAAAACCACAAAAAGUGGCUAUCAGUACAUCUGCGUUAUGGUGGAUUACCUGAAGCCUAUCCUCUCCAUACCAAAACGGCAGCUGAGGUGACGUAAUGCAUCAUUAAAUUCUCCGAAAAGGAUACUGACUGAUCAAAGAGGAGUUUGUCAAUGCGCUAAUUUUGAAAAUACUUUAAAAAAAUGUUGCUGAAAUAUUUUUGUUGUGUUUUGAUCUACAUACAAUAUGUUUUUUAUAUUAACAGAUAAUGUAUGUGCAAAGUUGGAAAUCAAAAGGAGUCUUUGUUCACUUCAUCAUCCUCAAACCAAUGGACGAUGAGAGGAUGAACGGCACCAUACAAAGGUGAGGCAAAUGGUUGAUUUUACAUAAAUUAAUUAUAUAGUUUGUGUACAUUAUCAUCAUGUGUACCACAGGGUCUUGAACUUACAGCAGCAAUGUCAGUUGGACCAUAAAUAUAUCUUUUUGGGAGAUGACUAUUGUCAGUUAAAAUUCUGUUAUUUUUUUUUAGAGAUCUCAGCAAGCUGGUGGCAAAAAAAGCUGAAAACUGGGAUGAGUACUUGGACGCAGUCACGUUUGGGUUGCGGACCAAUGAACAGAUUACUACUAAGUUCCCCCCAUUCUUUUUGAUGUUUGGGCGAGAGGCUUGGUACCCAACAGAGGUGCCAGAACACUUCAUGGUUGGUAAACACAUGUCUCAAUAUAUUUUAAGGUCUAUGGAUGCAGUGUUGAAAACAUAGACUGAAAGAAUGUAAAAACAUUUGUUCACAGGUAGACAACAGUGUUGAGGAUGUUGUGGCAGAAGAAGCUGUGUCAGAGGACAUAAAGCGCCUUGAUGAAAUUAAGGAUAUUGUUCAUGACAAUGUCACCAAGCAGUAGGAGAAGACAAUGAAGCAAAUGAAGUAGGGUGCUGCUAAACCUGGCUUCAAAAUAGGGGACAAGGUGUGGAGACAAAAUGUAAGAAGCCAACAAAGAAAAGGUGGCAAACUGGAGGCAAACUUCCUUGGCCCUUUCACUGUGACAGCAUUACAGGGGAAAAGUGCUGAUCUACUUGCGGAAGAUGGUACUGUUUUUAACAAAGUUAAUGUAGAUCACUUGAAAAUUGCAAAGGAGGAGCUGCCUGCAUCCCUCAUAAAAUCAAAAAAUCAGUGGCUACAGCACCCCCAGCCUCACCAGCAGUACCAGCCUCACCAGCAGUGCUAGCCGCCACAGUACCAGCCUUCACAGCAGCCCCAGCCUCAUGAGCAGCGCCAGACGCCACAGUACCAGCCUCCACAGCAGCACCAGCAUCAGCAGCAGUGCCAGCUGCCACAAUACCAGCCUCCACAGCAGCACCAGACACCACAGCACCAGCCUCCACAGCAGCACCAGCAUCAGCAUCAGUGCCAGCUGCCACAAUACCAGCCUCCACAGCAGCACCAGCAUCAGCAGCAGCGCCAGCCGCCACAGUACCAGCCUCCACAGCAGCACCAGCAUCAGCAGCAGUGCCAGCUGCCACAAUACCAGCCUCCACAGCAGCACCGGCAGCACCAGCCUCCACAACAGCACCAGCCUCACCAGCAGUGCCAGCCGCCACAGUACCAGCCUCCACAGCAGCACCAGCAUCAGCAUCAGCACCAGCCUCCACAGUACCAGCCUCCACAACAGCACCAGCUUUUCACGGCAGGGGUGCUUGAUACGGCACAACACCUGCUGAACAUCUGGAUCUUAAGCAAUCAGAGAAACGAACUGAGCAAAUGUUAGCAGCAGCUCAGCUAGCAGCCCCUACCAGACGUCCUGUGCCCGCUGAAAAGUAUCAGAGAAACACUGAUUUUCAAUGUGAAACUUCUUUAUUCAGUGUGUUCUGCUGGUUAACCAGUCUGAUAUCAUUAGCAACAAUGACAAACAAGCUUACUCUCCUAGUUGUUUCAUUUAAACUAUGUUGUUAACUUUCUACUGUUGUUGAGAGGA